CCUAGUCACACUCAAACUAUUGCCAGUCGAGAAACAGAAACACAGAAACACAGAAAGAUGUCUUCCGGCAGCACACUUGAAAAUCCCGAUGAGCUAUAUGAGGAGAUGAUUGACGAGGUGAUGGACAUUGUGGCGCAGCAGCCAGAACUGCUGGACAUUCUAUACGAGGCGCUGAUUGAUGUCGAACUGCACAAGCGGCGCUGCAAACUGCAGCCAAGUGAAGGGCUUGUGGCGUUUAGUUACCAAUUCCACGACAGUGCCCCGGGAGCUUGAUCUCAGCUUGAAAUUUAUUGAACUCUUAUACUGUGCUGCACGCCACAUCCAGCGUCCAAGUCGGGACUGGCAAGGACUGCUACCUGGCUUUAAAGUUGUAAGGAACGUGGAUCUGGGACCGGCGCAUUCUGUCUUCGCAUGCACAACAAUGUGAACGUGUCCAAUAAGACUGCACCCAAAUUGAAUCUACUCAUUCCAAUACUAAUUAGACGAUCCAGACACAUCUGUCGUUGCUGCAGUUGGACCCGAUCAUCAGGGAGAUACAGAGCAGAUUUUGAGCCACGCCAUUCGUCUUAUGUAGGCCUGGAUAACCUGGAAAAAGAAUAGCGAACUGAAGCGGAAAUCGGACAGGCCAACUGUCAACGCAGCUCUUCAGAACACUCUGGGAGACACACUGACACCGCAGCAAUGUGAAGUUCGAAGAGUUCUAGGAGAAGAACAGCAACGAUGUGCAUUUCGAUAAUACACCAGAUGAUGGUGAGGAGGUAUGCAUAGAUCCCAUGGAUCCCACCCUGGCAUGACGAGAAUCUGGGCUGGGAAAUGAGGAGGACGAACAAGUGCAGCCCGAUGGCUCGUAAAGGAAGCAGCAAAAGGGACAGUGUAGAAAUGGCAGGAUGCCUUCAACUGGCCUGGCCGGCUACACGCAUCAUCUUUAUAGAUGCAUGCGGAGUAAUCUCAAAUUAACGUUAUCAAAGCGGAUCGUCUGGUAGAGCUACAGCAGGCCCGCCUGUUGCCUGAAGUGGAGCGGUCUACUCAAGUAUAAUUGGAAUCUGGAUCCUAAUGCUUCCCCAGCCCAUCAUGUCAUCAUACACAUAACCACCUGUUGAGGCAGAUACUCAGUUCUCGUGAAGCUGCGAAUUCCGUCAUAAUUCGUUGCGGGAGAAGGCAACACUGGAGAAGCAGAAGCUGGAGCACAAGCCCAUACCCAUCAAGGAAGCUACAAGCGUAAAGUUGCAACUGAAGCUGCCGUUUCAAGGUCACGCAAACUGCCACGACUACUGCCACCAAGUCGAAGCCGGUGUAUAAUGGCUUUCUCAAGUGUAACUCAAUUGAACUUUUCACUGAAAUAUGAACGCCCGUGGCUUACUGGAGAUAAAGAGAAAAAGGGUGCAUCAGACGGCCAGGAUAUGAGCAGGGAUCUGUACUUGCAACAAUGACCUAACGUUAAUGUCGAGUUUUGUCCAGUCAUGCACUGAGAAGGUAAGCAGACUGAAGCAGCUGUCUUUUCACAAGAGAGAACAAAUCGAAAAUGGUUUCUACAUCCUGGAGCUGAAGGAUCAGGCUGCUCUCCGAUAUACAGAUGAACGAUAUGCUUCGAAUUGGCCAACAUUGAGAUCAACUGAAAUAUACAACAUUAAAUACCCAUUUUGGAAACAAAUGUAAUGAAUUGAUGUUUACCAAUAAACGGGUAGCUAUUCGGUGCUA